rnacentral:rRNA from 1 species
ACGAACGCUGGCGGCGUGCUUAACACCUGCAAGUCGAACGGAAAGGCCCCUUUGGGGGUCCUCGAGUGGCGAACGGGUGAGUAACACGUGAGUAACCUGCCCUUGACUUCGGGAUAACUUCAGGAAACUGGGGCUAAUACCGGAUAGGAAUCCUUGCUGCAUGGUGGGGGUUGGAAAGCUUCGGCGGUUUUGGAUGGACUCGCGGCUUAUCAGCUUGUUUGUGGGGUAGUGGCUUACCAAGGCUUUGACGGGUAGCCGGCCUGAGAGGGCGACCGGCCACAUUGGGACUGAGAUACGGCCCAGACUCCUACGGGAGGCAGCAGUGGGGAAUAUUGCACAAUGGGCGGAAGCCGGAUGCAGCAACGCCGCGUGCGGGAUGACGGCCUUCGGGUUGUAAACCGCUUUCAGCAGGGGCGAAGCUUGUGGUGACGGUACCUGCAGAAGAAGCACCGGCUAACUACGUG